GAAAGUAAGUAAGGGCGUAUGGGGGAUGCCUAGGCUCUUGGAGGCUAAGAAGGACGUGGUAAGCUGCGAAAAGCUGCGGGGAUUUGCAAACGAGACUCGAUCCGCAGAUAUCCGAAUGGGACAACCCGGCAGGUAGAAGACCUGUCACACCGCGAGGUGAGCUAACCCUCUGAACUGAAACAUCUAAGUAGGAGGAGGAAAAGAAAGAAACAUCGAUUUCCAAAGUAGCGGCGAGCGAAAUGGAAGAAGCCCAAACCGAUAUUGUUACGGCAAUAUCGGGGUUGUAGGACUGCAAUAUUCAAUUAACAAUGAACUGGAAUGGUCUGGAAAGUCCAUCCAUAGAGAGUGAAAGGCUCGUACAGGUAAGUUUGUUAUGCGAUAGCAGUAUCCUGAGUAUGGCGGGACACGAGGAAUCCUGUCAGAAUCAGCCGGGACCACCCGGUAAGGCUAAAUACUCCCAAGAGACCGAUAGUGGACCAGUACUGUGAAGGAAAGGUGAAAAGAACCCCGAACAGGGGAGUGAAAUAGAACCUGAAACCAUACGCUUACAACCGGUCGGAGCAGCUUCGUGCUGUGACGGCGUGCCUAUUGAAUAAUGAGCCUACGAGUUACUAAUCACUAGCGAGGUUAAGUGCAAGGAUGCACGGAGCCGAAGCGAAAGCGAGUCUGAACAGGGCGUUUAGUCAGUGGUUGUAGACGCGAAACCUUGCGAUCUACCCUUGAGCAGGUUGAAGGUUGGGUAAAACCAACUGGAGGACCGAACGAAUAAGCGUUGAAAAGCUUCUCGAUGACUUGAGGGUAGGGGUGAAAGGCUAAUCAAGCUGGGAAAUAGCUCGUACUCCCCGAAAUGCCUUUUGGGGCAGCGUUGUAAUAAAGAGUCUACUGGAGGUAGAGCUACUGAUUGGAUGCGGGGGCUUCACCGCCUACCAAAUCCUGACAAACUCCGAAUGCCAGUAGUAUGAUUUACAGCAGUGAGUGACUGGGUGCUAAUGUCCAGUCGCAAAAGAGGAACAACUCAGACCAGCAACUAAGGUCCCGAAGAAUAUGCUAAGUUGAUCUAACGAUGUUUUGUUGCAGAGACAGCUAGGAUGUUAGCUUGGAAGCAGCUAUUCAUUCAAAGAGUGCGUAACAGCUCACUAGUCGAGCGACAGAGCGUGGAUAAUAAACGGGCAUCAAGCAUAUCACCGAAGUUCUGGGCGCGAGAGCGCGGUAGGGGAGCAUUCCAUUCAGCGUCGAAGCAGUUUCGUGAGGAAUUGUGGAGCGUAUGGAAAAGCAAAUGUAGGCAUGAGUAACGAUAAUGCGGGAGAGUAACCCGCACACCGCAAGACCAAGGUUUCCUGAUCAACGCUAAUCGGAUCAGGGUUAGUCGGGUCCUAAGGGUAAGCCGAACGGCGAUCUCGAUGGAUAAUCGGUUAAUAUUCCGAUACUAACAUAUACCUCGAUGGAGAGACGAAGGAACGUAAGUGCCGCCACCUGACGGAAUAGGUGGUUAAAGGGCGUAGGUAUAGGGGCAGAUUAAGAGUUAGUCCUUGCUGAAACCCGACAGUACAGAGAGCCUACGGGCAAUUUGAUAGUGCACCCAAGUCGACUUCCGAGAAAAUCUUCUAAGUUAUAGUAUAUGUUACCCGUACCGUAAACCGACACAGGUGGUCGAGGAGAGUAUCCUAAGGUGCUCGAGUGAAUCACGGUUAAGGAACUAGGCAAAUUAACCCCGUAACUUCGGGAAAAGGGGUCCCUAUGAAAGUAGGGCGCAGCGAAGAGGUCCAGGCGACUGUUUAUCAAAAACACAGGGCUCUGCAAAUUCGAAAGAAGACGUAUAGGGCCUGACACCUGCCCGGUGCUGGAAGGUUAAGAGGGGAUGUCAUCGCAAGAGAAGCAUUGAAUCGAAGCCCCAGUAAACGGCGGCCGUAACUAUAACGGUCCUAAGGUAGCGAAAUUCCUUGUCGGGUAAGUUCCGACCUGCACGAAUGGUGUAAUGAUCUGGACGCUGUCUCAACCGUGAGCUCAGUGAAAUUGUAGUAUCGGUGAAGAUGCCGAUUACCCGCGAUGGGACGAAAAGACCCCGUGAACCUUUACUAUAGCUUAUCAUUGAAUCUGGGCACGUGAUGUGUAGGAUAGGUCGGAGGCUUUGAAGCAGGUACGCCAGUAUUUGUGGAGCCGCUGUUGAAAUACGACCCUUUAUUUGUUUGCUUAUUUCUUUUUUUAGCUCAUUGGGGUCUUGAUUGCUGGAUUUUGCAUCGAUUUGUGCUUGUAUUGAUUCUGAUAAACUGUGAGUUUGGGCCCACUGUGCACUGUCUGCAUAAGUAAUACUUUGUCCUAGAUAAUAUUUGGUACAACUGUCUGAUGUCUGUUCCUGUUGGUACUUGAUGUCGUCCAUCAGGCUGGCGAUAGUAGGCUCUUCUUCCAUUUCCUUUUCCGAUAGUUUUAUCGCUGCCGGGUCAAUGAGUUGUACGCCCAUGAUGUAUAGAGCAGCCAGAACGAACAAGGUUUGAAAUGGUUUAUAGUAAUGUACACGUUUUCCCUUCAGAUAAUCCCGUAUCAUGUAUCCUGGUCGGUAGAGUAGUUCUAUCAGGUUACGGCUGAAACCAUGGUCUAUGUUAAAGAACCCACUUAAAAUAUUCUGAAAGGCAUUUCGUAUGGUAAAACGUGGCGUGUGGCGGUUUUGUCCGCAAUGGGGACAAUAAUUUCCUUGAAACGUGUUUCCGCAGUUCUUACAGACGCAACAUGUCGGAUUCUCUUUUAUUUCAUGUUU
rnacentral:rRNA from 1 species